AGUGAACGCUGGCGGUAGGCCUAACACAUGCAAGUCGAACGGCAGCACAGUAAGAGCUUGCUCUUACUGGUGGCGAGUGGCGGACGGGUGAGGAAUACAUCGGAAUCUACUUUUUCGUGGGGGAUAACGGAGGGAAACUUACGCUAAUACCGCAUAUGACCUACGGGUGAAAGCAGGGGAUCUUCGGACCUUUCGCGAUUGAAUGAGCCGAUGUCGGAUUAGCUAGUUGGCGGGGUAAAGGCCCACCAAGGCGACGAUCCGUAGCUGGUCUGAGAGGAUGAUCAGCCACACUGGAACUGAGACACGGUCCAGACUCCUACGGGAGGCAGCAGUGGGGAAUAUUGGACAAUGGGCGCAAGCCUGAUCCAGCCAUACCGCGUGAGUGAAGAAGGCCUUCGGGUUGUAAAGCCCUUUUGUUGGGAAAGAAAAGCAGCAGAUUAAUACCCCGCUGUUCUGACGGUACCCAAAGAGUAAGCACCGGCUAACUUCGUG
rnacentral:rRNA from 1 species